GAUCCUGGCUCAGAUUGAACGCUGGCGGCAGGCCUAACACAUGCAAGUCGAACGGUAGCACAGAGGAGCUUGCUCCUUGGGUAACGAGUGGCGGACGGGUGAGUAAUGUCUGGGAAACUGCCCGAUGGAGGGGGAUAACUACUGGAAACGGUAGCUAAUACCGCAUAACGUCGCAAGACCAAAGAGGGGGGACCUUCGGGCCGUCUUGCCAUCGGAUGUGCCCACGAUGGGAUUAGCUAGUAGGUGGGGUAACGG
rnacentral:rRNA from 1 species